GACGAACGCUGGCGGCGUGCUUAACACAUGCAAGUCGAACGGAAAGGCCUUUUCGGAGGUACUCGAGCGGCGAACGGGUGAGUAACACGUGGGUGAUCUGCCCUGCACUCUGGGAUAAGCCUGGGAAACUGGGUCUAAUACCGGAUAGGACCGCACUUUAGUGUGUGUGGUGGAAAGUUUUUUCGGUGUAGGAUGAGCCCGCGGCCUAUCAGCUUGUUGGUGGGGUAAUGGCCUACCAAGGCGGCGACGGGUAGCCGGACUGAGAGGUUGGUCGGCCACAGUGGGACUGAGAUACGGCCCAGACUCCUACGGGAGGCAGCAGUGGGGAAUAUUGCACAAUGGGCGCAAGCCUGAUGCAGCGACGCCGCGUGGGGGAUGACGGCCUUCGGGUUGUAAACUCCUUUCGCCAGGGACGAAGCGUUUUGUGACGGUACCUGGAGAAGAAGCACCGGCUAACUACGUG
rnacentral:rRNA from 1 species